rnacentral:rRNA from 1 species
UACGUAGGUGGCAAGCGUUGUCCGGAUUUACUGGGCGUAAAGAGCGCGCAGGCGGUCGUGCAAGUCGCGUGUGAAAGCCCCCCGGCUCAACUGGGGAGGGUCACGCGAUACUGCUCGACUCGAAGGCAGGAGAGGGAAGUGGAAUUCCCGGUGUAGUGGUGAAAUGCGUAGAUAUCGGGAGGAACACCAGUGGCGAAGGCGACUUCCUGGCCUGUUCUUGACGCUGAGGCGCGAAAGCUAGGGUAGCAAACGGGG